AGAGUGAACGCUGGCGGUAGGCCUAACACAUGCAAGUCGAACGGCAGCACAGUGGUAGCAAUACCAUGGGUGGCGAGUGGCGGACGGGUGAGGAAUACAUCGGAAUCUACCUUUUCGUGGGGGAUAACGUAGGGAAACUUACGCUAAUACCGCAUACGCCCUUCGGGGGGAAAGCCGGGGAUCGCAAGACCUGGCGCGGAUAGAUGAGCCGAUGUCGGAUUAGCUAGUUGGUGAGGUAAUGGCUCACCAAGGCGACGAUCCGUAGCUGGUCUGAGAGGAUGAUCAGCCACACUGGAACUGAGACACGGUCCAGACCUCCUACGGGAGCAGCGAGGUGGGAAUAGUUGGACGAAGU
rnacentral:rRNA from 1 species